GCCGUCUCGGCCGCCACCACCACCACUACCACCACCACUCGCUCGGAAUCGCUAUCGCCGGCGCGGCCCGUCUUCUCGCGAGAGACAAUCACCCAGUAAGCUGCAGCAAGUUAGCAGUGGAACCUGGGCCUCCCGAUUCCCAUGGCAGCCCACUUCUGUAGCGCUGCUUCGUUUUACGCGAGGGUGGUUUCCUGAUAGCUUUCAAACACCUUUGCCAUCUCUUCGCAAACUUUCUAGAUUAAGAAUCCCUUUGAGAAUCUGAUACCUUUACCCCAGAAUAGAACAAUAAAUAACAGCUACCUUCUACUGACA